rnacentral:rRNA from 1 species
UACAGAGGGUGCAAGCGUUGUUCGGAAUUAUUGGGCGUAAAGGGCGCGUAGGCGGUUCGGCAAGUCUUCAGUGAAAUCUCUCGGCUCAACUGAGAGUCUGCUGGGGAAACUGCCGGGCUUGAGUGUGGGAGAGGAGAGUGGAAUUCCUGGUGUAGCGGUGAAAUCCGUAAAUAUACGAAGGAACGCCAAAAGCGAAGGCAGCUCUCUGGGUCCCUACCGACGCUGGGGUGCGAAAGCAUGGGGAGCGAACAGG